rnacentral:sRNA from 2 species
GACGCGCAAGCGCCGAAGGCAGGAGCGGGGGACCCAGGAUUUUCGCCGGGAGCCUCCCGGCUGGGGGUUAAGCCCGGUGCGCCGCGCGCACCGGCCGGGCAACUCACGCCCGCACCCGACAGCUCACCUCGUAGGCGUCGGUGAGGAAACGA